AAUGGGCGAAAGCCUGACGGAGCAACGCCGCGUGAGGGAUGAAGGCCUCUGGGCUGUAAACCUCUUUUAUCAAGGAAGAAGAUCUGACGGUACUUGAUGAAUAAACCACGGCUAAUUCCGUGCCAGCAGCCGCGGUAAUACGGGAGUGGCAAGCGUUAUCCGGAAUUAUUGGGCGUAAAGCGUCCGCAGGCGGCCCUUCAAGUCUGCUGUUAAAAAGUGGAGCUUAACUCCAUCAUGGCAGUGGAAACUGUUGGGCUUGAGUGUGGUAGGGGCAGAGGGAAUUCCCGGUGUAGCGGUGAAAUGCGUAGAUAUCGGGAAGAACACCAGUGGCGAAGGCGCUCUGCUGGGCCAUCACUGACGCUCAUGGACGAAAGCCAGGGGAGCGAAAGGGAUU
rnacentral:rRNA from 1 species